GCCCCGGCUCAUCACUCUGCCAGAUCGUUCAUUCUACCUUGUGUUACAAACAUUAAGGCCAAGUUCCAGUCUAUUGUUCCUUGUGUGGAUUUUCAUGCUUCUAACCUUGAGUUUCCCUGUGUGCCAGUUUCAUAUUUUCAGCUUGCUGCAGUUACCGGUCACGUGGAGCUCCUUCCUCGUAGCCUUUUUUUUUUGCAUUUGGAUCAUUGUUCCCACUCCAGUCCAGCUCUGCCACCAGCUUAGUACUGACCUCCUGAUUUCCAUGUGGAUCAACACCUCAUCGUCUGCCCUGCUCUUCCACAAACCCCAAUGGUCAACUGGAUCAAGCGGCCCAGGCGCACCCACCUACCUGUUCAACUCCCCCUACUCCACCAGCUGAACUGCAACCUCUGAACCCAAAGGACUCUGGCUCCGCCUCCUCCAAGGCAACAGAAGUACCCCAGCAAAGCUGCACCAAGCCUGAGGAGAAGCACUGUCUUGAGGAUAAACUCAUGGAACAAAUGUCCCUCCCUUGUUGUUCCAUAACUGUACUCGAAGACUGCAGACUGUUAGAAUUUGGACGGUUACUUUUUUGUGUGUUGUUGUUCUGGUCUUCAGGCUCUGUGCUUCAGCACAUUCAGUUUGGGAUAAAAUAAUGGACACUAUAUUAAAGUGCCAAGUCUCAGCUUGUCAGCUCCACUGACAAUAAACAAGUCCUUAAAUAGACCCUUCAGUCUACUGAAGAAUCACUCUGGGUAGAAUCCUAUUUCGCUCAGAGAUGUCUGUCCCUCUCUACUAAAUGCUAAUUGUACUGAUAAAUAUCCUAAAUAUUCCUUCCAAUAAUGCCAAGGAACCACACUUGGUUCAAUCCCUAAAGCAUUAAAGGAAAGGGGGGGGGCAUUUUUAGCAUACACAGUAAUUGGGGAAAAGGAGCAGCCGCACAAUGGAGAUUAAAUUUUUCUGUGGGUCAUAAAUUUCCUGAAAUGACACUCUUCAGUGGAAGGAAUGAAACCAUCCCCAAUGCUACCGCUACCUUUUUAAGCUACAUGACUUGUUUAAUUUGAAAGUGAUGUACUGUGAUGUGGAAUGUAACUAAGUUUAUUUAGUCAUAGAUAAAACUUCAGCGCAAAUUAAAAGUACUUGUAUACUUAGUUUACACACAAGAAAUGAUGAGCUGAUUAAAAUAUUAUGCACUCUUAUGUUACAGUAAC